rnacentral:tRNA from 1 species
GGAACUUUAGCUCAGUAGGUAGAGCAAACGCUUGAUAAGCGUUAGGUCAAUGGUUCAAAUCCAUUAGGUUCCACCAUAUUAAUGCGGCAUUAGCUCAGUCUGGUAG